rnacentral:lncRNA from 11 species
CUUUUUUCCCGCAGAGAUGGUAUAUUCCGAAUCUUGACAGGAAAGGCAAUCACCGCCCUCCGCCGCACACCUCUCAGCAUGCUCUUCUGGAUUUGGCCACUAGGGGCAGAGCAGAGCCAAUUAUAUAUUUUUUCCCUCUAGUCUAGACCCUAUAAUAGCGCGCAGGCUGGGGUCCCUCCUCCCUGCUCUCCUUCAUCCAUAGGGAUGCCUUUGGCUUAUAGAUCCUGGAGCAUCCUUCGCUUUAUGUAAAGGGGCAGAAGCCAAACGCCAGGAGGGGGGGAGCAGGGAGCUGGCAGGAGAUCCAUCCAGGCACCAAGAUGUGACAAUGGCACCGAGGAGUCCCUGGCGCUGGUGAAGGAAGAUGGUGCAAUGUUGAAUGGGGAGCUUCUCUCCUCCUCCGGAGCAAGGAAAAGACCUGAGCAACUCCUGGACUGAGGACUUUUUGGCAGGACAUCCAAGAGGGGUGGAACUUCAGAGAAACCUGGACAGAGAUGAGAAUAUGCUUUCUACCAAUGGGAAGGCAAAACAAGUUGAUCAGAAAAAAAAGUACAGUCUUCAAAAUUCAACAACUGAGAUACCCAACCAGUCCAUGCUCCAGGAAAUAAUGCCCGGCUGCUCACUGGAGGGAAGGAUGAAGUACUUUGGCCACAUAAUGAGAAGACAGGAAAGCUUGGAGAAGAUAAUGAUGCUGGGGAAAAUGGAAGGAAAAAGGAAGAGGGUCCGACCAAGGGCAAGAUGGAUGGAUGGUAUCCUUGAAGUGACUGCCUUGAUCUUGAAGGAGCUAGGGGUGGCCAUGGCAUGGGCUGGUCCAUGAAGUCACAAAAGGUCAGAAGCAACUGAACAAAUAAACAACAACAAUGAUAAUGAUAGAGUUUUGUUAGAUACUAGUUCCAUAUGGCGAGGUGCUGGAAAUCAUGGUUGGUGGUUCAUGGGUGGGAAUGGGGAGAUGGUGGGACUGGGGAAAAUAAAAUAUGUAUCUUCUUGCAGUCCAAGGCACUCUCAGAAUUUCCUUCCAACACCACAGUUCAAAGUGUCUAUCUUCCUUCGCUCAGACUUCCUUAUGGUCCAGUUCUCACAUCCAUAGGUUACUAAGGGGAUACCAUUGCUUUAACUAUGCAGACCUUUGUUGCCAGUGUGAUGUCUCUACUCUUCACUAUUUUAUUGAGACUGGUCAUUGCUCUCCUCCCAAGAAGUAAACAUCUUCUGAUUUCCUGGCUGCAGUCUGCAGCUGCAGUAAUCUUCGCACCUAGAAAUGUAAAAUCUGUCACUGCCUCCACGUUUUCUCCCUCUAUUCUCAAUCUUUAUUACGGUCCAUGACCCACACAAAGUGGGGCACAAAUGCCCUGGGAAGGGGAAAUGCAGUUCCCUAUUUAGCAGUUCUAAAAGAACUGAUUAGAAAACAAUUUGAAAUCACAGUUUAAAAAGACAGAUUAAUGUAGCAGGUAUGGAACCGAGGGGCGGGGAGACGGAUAGGAGGGGUCAAACCACUGGGGAGGGGCAGUAAAGGAGACGGGAGGGCUGCAUUACAAGUCUAGUAGCAUUUCAGUUGUAACUAGUUGCUCUAGCUACAUUCCCGAGUGGGUGUUGUCUUGUGAGGUCGACCAUCAUCCGUCUAAUUUUAAUUGCUGCAGCAGAAAACUUAGCAACACUGUAAGUUAAUUGUAGUGUGGAGAAAUAUUUUUCAGUGCGCCCUGGAUAUUUUAGAAGCCACGGUGUAAUGAGAUUAGUUCUGAGGUCUCUGUAGAAUGUGCAUUGAAAGAGCACGUCCUCUAUUUGCCAGUUAUCAAUCAGUCUGGUUGCCAUAAUUUUGGUUUUUUCCAAAUCUCUGUUCUUCCCUAGAUCUCUAGCCCAGGAGAACAUUACUGUUUUUGUUUGGUUAUCUUCCAGGUUAUCCUCUACUAGAAAAAAAUUGUAUAACCUGGAGAUUAAUCCUUUAUUUUCUUCUCUAAAAUGUUCUCCAGCUCCAAUUUAUUUUUGGGGAACCCAAUUUUAAUUUUUUUCCUAAAUAUAUCCUGUAGUUGAUAAUACCUAAACCAGUACUUUAUCUUUAGAUCUUCUCUCCCUUUUAAUUUCCAUUUUCCUUUCCCCCAAAAAAACCUCUCAAAAAACAAUAUCGAUAAGCUGGAGAACUUAUCAGCAUGUAAGGUCACAAGGAAAGUUAAGUACCUAGGAGUAUGGAUAACUAAUAAAAACAAUAAUCUAAUUCAAGACAACUAUUGGAAGGCAUGGAAGGAGGUCAAAAAAGAUCUGGAAAGAUGGCAAAGGAUCCUGGUUGGGGAGAGAAUAGUAGCGCUAAAAAUGAUUGAUUUAUUUAUCAUGUCAGAAGCAAAUUGAGAAUAUGGUUAUAAUGUAUAGAAAAACCACAAACAAAGUUAAAAACUUGGCAUUAUACUAAACUUCCUUUGAUCAGAAGCUGGCCACUUGUAGUGUGUCUGGUGUCACUGUAAGAAGGUUCUCCAUUGUGCAUGUGGCAGGGCUCAGGUUGCAUUGUAGUAAGUGGUCUGCAGUUUGCUCUUCUCCACACUCACAUGUCAUGGACUCUGCUUUGAAGCCCCAUUUCUUAAGGUUGGCUCUGCAUCUUGUGGUGCCAGAGUGUAGUCUGUUCAGCACCUUCCAAGUCGCCCAGCCUUCUGUGUGCCCAGGAGUUCUCACCUUGUAUCAGCCACUGAUUGAGGUUCCAGGAUUUGACCUGCCACUUUUGGACUCUUGCUUGCUGAGGUGUUCCUGUGAGUAUUUCUGUAGAUCUUAGGAAGAUACUUCUUGAUUUAGGCAUUGGCUUGCUUGCUGAUAUUCGAACACAUGGGCCAGAAAUGUCAAUGCAUUGGUCCUUUCAUUACAGGUUGCUAUUUCCUGAACAAUGAUGUAAAAAUGAUGAUUCUACCAAACAUGCUGUUUUAUUUCAAAAUUUACAAUUUUUGAAGUUAAGGUCUUUGAUGAAUAGAGAUAGGAUAUGGUCAAAGGUAUAUGGAAUGAAAAAAGGCUAGAAUUGCAUAUAGAAAUCUGAUAGAUGCCAAAGAUAGAGGGGGAGUAGCGCUUCUAGAUCUUAGAUAUUAUUAUGAAGCCGUAGGCUUUAGUUAGUUAAAGAACUGGAUAAAGUUGGGAAAUUGUACUUUACUCAACCUAGUAAAGGUAAAGGCAUCCCCUGACAUUAAGUCCAGUCGUGUCCGACUCUGGGAGUUGGUGUUCAUCUCCAUUUCUAAGCCAAAGAGCCGGAGUUGUCCGUAGACACCUCCAAGGUCAUGUGACCGGCAUGACUGCAUGGAACGCCGUUACCUUCCCACCGGAGUGGUACCUAUUGAUCUACUCACAUUUGCAUGUUUUCGAACUGCUAGGUUGGCAGAAGCUGGAGAUUAACAGCGGGCGCUCACUCUGCUUCCCUGAUUUGAACCUGGGACCUUUCGGUCUGCAAGUUCAGCAGCUCAGUGCUUUAACACACUGAGCCACCGGAGGCUCCCACCUAGAGGGGCAUAAUCUAAGAUUUGAUUGGCAUGCCUACUUAUGGUAUGGGAAAGAUAAGGCUAACAAAGACUUUAAUAGGCACCCGAUAAGAGCUAGCUUCUAGCAUCAUGGAAAAGUUACUAGGAAGGGCUGGAGCCAAAGACCCCUCUAUGGCUGCGUCCUCUGGAAGCAGUACUAAAACCAACAUAAUUUUUUAUUGUGUCAGAAGCAACUUGAGAACAUACUGCAAGUCGCUUCUGGUGUGAGAGAAUUAGCCAUCUACAAAGAUGUUGCAUUGGGGAAGCCCGGAUGUGAUCGCUGGGAGGCUUCUCUCAUGUCACUGUAAGCUAGAGUUGACAGACAGGAUCUCACCCCAUCUUGCGGAUUCGAACCGGCAACCUUCAGGUCAGCAACCCAGACUUCAGGUCAGCAGUUCAGCUGGCACAAGGGUUUAAUCCAUUGUGCCACCACAGCUCCCACUAACAUACAAUGAGGAAUGGAGAAUGUAUAGGGAAUUCAAGUUAAACACGCAUUCUGGACUUUAAGAGAGCUGACUUCCAAAAAAUGAAGGAAUUACUGAGCGGCAUUCCAUGGACACCAAUAUUAAAAA